UACGUAGGUGGCAAGCGUUAUCCGGAUUUACUGGGUGUAAAGGGCGUGUAGGCGGGACUGCAAGUCAGAUGUGAAAAUUAUGGGCUCAACCCAUAACCCGCAUUUGAAACUGUAGUUCUUGAGUGAUGGAGAGGCAGGCGGAAUUCCGUGUGUAGCGGUGAAAUGCGUAGAUAUACGGAGGAACACCAGUGGCGAAGGCGGCCUGCUGGACAUUAACUGACGCUGAGGCGCGAAAGCGUGGGGAGCAUACAGG
rnacentral:rRNA from 1 species